rnacentral:tRNA from 1 species
GGGGGUAUAGCUCAGUAGCAGAGCGUGUGCUUGGAGUGCAUUAAGUCCUGGGUUCAAUUCCCAGUGCCUCCA